AAAACAGAGCUUCAGAAGUUGGGCACUAAGGAGCCAGUUGGGACUUGGAGAACAGAGAGGUGGUGGAAUUAGAAGGCAGCUGGAGGCUUGACCAAGGUAUGCUGAGGAGUGAGAGAGAAUGUAUCCUAGUGAGAGAUGGAAGACAUUGUACAAUGUGGAAUUUGAGAACAGCUAAGAGGCUCUGAAGGACCAAUUGUAAUCACCUGGGUUGAAAACAUCUCAGGUAGCGGGAGCCACAGCCAAUGAAAAGGCCCUGUGAAGAGGAGGUGUCAGCUUGUUGAAGAAAGAGCAAUGAAGCCUGGGUGGCCAGAAAUCAGAAAGAGAGAAAAAUAGCCUGUUUAUAAGGGUGCUGUGGGGAACCUUUAUGCUGCCUUCCUCUCAAGCUCUUUGAAGACCAACUCAUACCAUCAAGAAGUCCUUA